GGCCUUGACAUACUAAGAACUUUCCAGAGAUGGAUUGGUGCCUUCGGGAACUUUAGAUACAGGUGCUGCAUGGCUGUCGUCAGCUCGUGUCGUGAGAUGUUGGGUUAAGUCCCGNAACGAGCGCAACCCUUUUCCUUAUUUGCCAGCGGGUCAUGCCGGGAACUUUAAGGAUACUGCCAGUGACAAACUGGAGGAAGGCGGGGACGACGUCAAGUCAUCAUGGCCCUUACGGCCAGGGCUACACACGUGCUACAAUGGUCGGUACAAAGGGUUGCUACCUCGCGAGAGGAUGCUAAUCUCAAAAAGCCGAUCGUAGUCCGGAUCGCAGUCUGCAACUCGACUGCGUGAAGUCGGAAUCGCUAGUAAUCGCGGAUCAGAAUGCCGCGGUGAAUACGUUCCCGGGCCUUGUACACACCGCCCGUCACACCAUGGGAGUUUGUUGCACCAGAAGUAGGUAGUCUAACCGCAAGGAGGACGCUUACCACGGUGUGGCCGAUGACUGGGGUGAAGUCGUAACAAGGUAGGCGUAGAUGA
rnacentral:rRNA from 1 species